UCGCAGGCUGUUGUCAGCGAGGCUUAGCCUGUCGUGGCUCUGUCCUUUCCUAACGCGUCUGCUAGAGAGAACUGAUAUGGUUUGAGGCCCUGCUGUGUUUCCUCCAUGGCAGGGUUAUAGGUAAACUUCAGACAUUA
ensembl:snoRNA small nucleolar RNA SNORA9